CGUCCCGCGCCCUGGGCUGUCAGGGAGCGCAGGAAUGGGGAGGCCGCCAGGGCUGUCCUGGGUGAUCCAGCUAAUGCACGUGUGGGUGGCCAGCGGGCAGCUCUCUGUGGAGCAGAGCCCGGAAUGGCGGGGUGUCUUCGAGGGGCAGAAUGGCACCGUGACCUGCACUUACUCCAGCGCCAUCAACAGUUUACACUGGUACCGGCAGGCUCCUGGGGAGCAGCCCCUUUUCCUGCUGAUCCUGCACGGCAAGGGGAGCGAGACACAAGAACCGAAUUUCACUGCAGAUCACGAUCCGGGGCAGAAGCGGAGCUCCCUGCACAUCCGCGGCUGCCAGCUGGGGGACACCGCCCGCUACCUCUGCGCCGUGGAGACACAGUGACACAGGGCGCAGCGCAACCUGUCCAAUAACUCUGGGUGUUACCCGGGAGGGGCUGCGGGGCGCUAGGUGCGCAGGGAGAGGUGGGACAGAGCCCCAUGGCGAGACGGGAACAGGCAUUUAUAGCCCUGCUGAGGGGGUAGCGCUGGCUCCCUGGUUAGGGCAAUGGGAGGGGACCGAGGUAACGUGGUUUCGGUUCCCAGCUCUGCCAGAGGCGGUUUGACCUGGGCCAUGAAGGCAGCA